CUUACUCUAUAUGAUCAUUAUGUACAAAAUGGAAGCUUAAAACAAUGCAAAUAUGCAAGAUAUCAACUCCCCCAAACUUGUUCUUUACUUGUCCUCAAGUGACUUUGCAAGAACUCAUAAGAGAAAGAGGUUUGAAGGUGGGAACUCAUAGCCAAAAGUAACAAUCCCUAGUACUCAACUUAACAUCCUAAGGAAACAUAGCAAAUAGCAUGAGCAACUCCCUAUUCAGCUCUAGCUUCUCUAGGCCUAUCAAUACUCCUUAUGCCUCUACACAAGUUGCAAUACUCAUCA
rnacentral:lncRNA from 1 species